AGAAGAUGAGGAAAUGCCUAUUAUAGAGAUUCAAAACUUCUUUCCAUGCCAUGAGGAUCAACCAUUCGGUCAUCAUCAACUGAAAAUAUUGCUACAAGACCAAUUUCUAUUUCUGGGUAAGGCCAAAAUCGUGAC